GAUGAACGCUGGCGGCGUGCCUAAUACAUGCAAGUCGAGCGAACGGACGAGAAGCUUGCUUCUCUGAUGUUAGCGGCGGACGGGUGAGUAACACGUGGAUAACCUACCUAUAGGACUGGGAUAACUUCGGGAAACCGGAGCUAAUACCGGAUAAUAUUUUGAACCGCAUGGAUCAAAAGUGAAAGACGGUCUUGCUGUCACUUAUAGAUGGAUCCGCGCUGCAUUAGCUAGUUGGUAAGGUAACGGCUUACCAAGGCAACGAUGCAUAGCCGACCUGAGAGGGUGAUCGGCCACACUGGAACUGAGACACGGUCCAGACUCCUACGGGAGGCAGCAGUAGGGAAUCUUCCGCAAUGGGCGAAAGCCUGACGGAGCAACGCCGCGUGAGUGAUGAAGGUCUUCGGAUCGUAAAACUCUGUUAUUAGGGAAGAACAUAUGUGUAAGUAACUGUGCACAUCUUGACGGUACCUAAUCAGAAAGCCACGGCUAACUACGUG
rnacentral:rRNA from 1 species